rnacentral:rRNA from 1 species
UACGAAGGGGGCUAGCGUUGCUCGGAAUGACUGGGCGUAAAGGGCGCGUAGGCGGUUUGGUUAGUUAGGCGUGAAAUUCCUGGGCUCAACCUGGGGACUGCGCUUAAUACAGCCAGGCUAGAGUGUGGAAGAGGGUCGUGGAAUUCCCAGUGUAGAGGUGAAAUUCGUAGAUAUUGGGAAGAACACCAAUAGCGAAAGCGGCGACCUGGUCCAUUACUGACGCUGAGGCGCGAAAGCGUGGGGAGCAAACAGG